GGCGCAUCAAGUCUGCUGUUAAAGGCUGGAGCUUAACUCCGGUAGAGCAGUGGAAACUGGUGCGCUAGAGGGCGACAGGGGUAGAGGGAAUUCCCAGUGUAGCGGUGAAAUGCGUAGAGAUUGGGAAGAACACCGGUGGCGAAAGCGCUCUACUGGGUCGCACCUGACCCUCAGGGACGAAAGCUAAGGUAGCGAAAGGGAUUAGAUACCCCUGUAGUCUUAGCCGUAAACGAUGGAUACUAGGCGUGGCCUGUAUCGACCCAAGCCGUGCCGAAGCUAACGCGUUAAGUAUCCCGCCUGGGGAGUACGCACGCAAGUGUGAAACUCAAAGGAAUUGACGGGGGCCCGCACAAGCGGUGGAGGAUGUGGUUUAAUUCGAUGCAACGCGAAGAACCUUACCAGGGCUUGACAUCCCGCGAAUCUCGGUGAAAGCCGGGAGUGCCUUCGGGAGCGCGGAGACAGGUGGUGCAUGGCUGUCGUCAGCUCGUGUCGUGAGAUGUUGGGUUAAGUCCCGCAACGAGCGCAACCCUCGUCCUUAGUUGCCAGCAUUGAGUUGGGCACUCUAGGGAGACUGCCGGUGACAAACCGGAGGAAGGUGAGGAUGACGUCAAGUCAGCAUGCCCCUUAUGCUCUGGGCAACACACGUCCUACAAUGGUCGGGACAAAGGGGAGCAAGCUCGCGAGAGUAAGCGAAUCCCAGCAAACUCGGCCUCAGUUCAGAUUGCAGGCUGCAACUCGCCUGCAUGAAGGAGGAAUCGC
rnacentral:rRNA from 1 species